rnacentral:lncRNA from 1 species
CCCACAUAUAAAGUAGAGGAAGAUGGACACGACGUUAGCUCGGGGCCAGGCUUCCUCAGCAAAAAAAAGAGGAGGACUGGCAGUAGUUAGCUCAGGGCUAAUCUUCCUCAAAACAACAACAACAACAACAAAAACAAAAGAAAAAAAAAGGAGAGAGAAAGGAGUUGUAAUAGUUUCUUUCUGUAGCCCAGCGUUCACCCAUCUGCAUGCCUUAUAUAAAAGGAAAGCAGGCUCAGAUCCAGGUUUUGUGGAACUUGGGACUGUUACAAUUUCUGAGGAGAGGAAACUAAGAAAAAGAAUACAAACAAAGUCUUACUUUUGCAACUUCUACAAACUCUGUGACCCUAGGAACACGGCUAGAGCGGUCCCAAGUGGAGGGGAAGAGGACCCUGCGGGGGAUCUCGCAUCUCCCGCAUGGAGGUGGGAGAAGCGCCUUCAGCAAUUUGAGGAGGCUGCUCCUGAAAACGAGCAAGCUUGGGAAAGAGGGCUCUUUUGCAAAAGAUUGCUUAGUGGACUGGAAUUUAAAUUUCCUUCGCGGAUUGGGUCCUCUUCACCGGGCCUUCACUCUUAGAAAAGCCUGCCUUCUGUGCUAAACUGUUCAAAAAACAAUCCGGGCAGCACUGGGGCUGGGAGCUCUGGAGCUGAUAAGGAGCGAGCUCAAAGGUUUAGAUAACAUCACAGCCAUUCACGCUGGCCGUCUUUUCUCUUCCCUCCUAAAACUGAGGGCUGGAGUCUUGGGUAGCAGGGCUCGCGGCUCGAGAAGAAGGAAGCAUAGAUUUUUGGUAAAGAACAGUCUGGACUUAUUAAAGACGGUCACACUGCUUCGGCCCGGUCAGGGGGGCCCAUUCUCCCUCUUCCUUGCAGGCGAGAAAUUUGAGAUGAAACUGGUCUUGCAGAAAUCUCAGCUGUCUCCCUUUUAAGGCAUUGUUUUCAAUGUAAGAGGGCAAAGGAAAACCCAAGAAAAGGCCGAGGCUAAUAGAGGACGUCGAGGGCCUGAAAACACUGCAAUCAAGGGGAGAGCCGGGGGCGCCGAAUUGAAGCAGGGGAAAUAAAGCUUCCACUGGGGGCCUGAACGUGCUGGCAAGUGGCAAUGCCCGAGAGAGUCUAUUUUUAAAGAAUCACAGAUCCAUUCCUGCCCUCAGCUCCUUACUCCACCUGCGCGCCAGGCGGGGCGCCCGCCUCCAGGCCCCUGCGGCCCCCUCCGGCCUGAUACUGCAUAACACGCCUCGGGUAUAUCGCGCUGCAGCGCCGCGCUCCUCGUUCACCCGAACCUGUAGGGCAGCAGCAUCCUGUCCACCCGGACUCCCCUGGGGACUGCGCAGGAGAAAGGGGCAAGAAAACUCUUUGAAACACAAACAACCGAUUCACAGUAAGGCGGGCGCCGUGUUUACCCACCCGAAGCCAGGCAGCCACGUGACUGGUGGAGGCCACGUGACAAGUUCACGUACGGCCAGGUUACUGGUUGACAGGGGCCACGUGAUUGGCUGACGUUCUGCCCUGUGAUUGGCUGAAUUGCUUCACGUGACUGGUUACGUCCUUCAGUUGGACGCUGCGAGGGGAGGACGGUGGCGGAGGCGAGAAGGCGCAGACGUGCGUGGGGCCGAGUGGCUGCUGGUUGGAGCCGCCGUGAGGGCAGGAGGAGGUCCAGCACCAGUCCCGGCUCCCUGGGGUGGGGAACCCCACAGCCCGUGCCCUCCUCUUGGCCCUUCCUGGGCGGCCGGCCGGCGUCUUCUUCCGGGGCAGGUCUGAGCCGCUUGGGGCGCUGGGAGCCGGCCCCGGGGAAAUGAAGAAGCGGGUUAUUGGUGAGAGGAAGCCCGCGGUGCGGACAGACCUGCUGGAAAGCGGGAGCGUCGAGGGAACUUUAUCGAAUUCGUGUCCAAAAUGAGCUCCAGAAGUGAAGAUGUGUCCAGAAUUCGCUCAGAUAGCGGGAAACUUCGCCUUGGUUUAAUCGGACACGUGGCUCUGCGGAGGGAGACGGCGUGUGUUAGUCCCGAGACCCUGCGACGCGGGGCGGCCACAUGGCGCUGUGGGGCCGGCGGGGAGCGGGGACGCCUUCCCGGCCUCUGCCUCUGAGCAGGCCAGGUCAGGAGCAGAGGGCGGCGGGUCCCCACGUUUACCGCACGGUAACCGUCCGGCUGAGAACUCGCUGUCUUGGCGCAGCCUCCGUGCCCUCGGCCACGUCUGCCACCUGAGUUGCCGCUGCUGAGCCGCGUGCCUGUGAGUGCGCGGCUUGCACCCCGGAGUCCCAGCUUCCUGGUAAAUGUGUUGUAUGUGUAUGUGUAAACUCCUGCCGGGGCCCCACCCACAGUUGGGUUUAGCGAAGGAGCCGGGAGCCUGUCAUUUAGGCUCCGCUGCCACCUGGUGGCCGCACGCCUGGAUUUAACUCCAGCGUUUAUUUUUAUGGUUCUGUUUUUUGAAAGAGAAGCAAGUCUCCUGUAAACGUUGAAGAUGUGAACCCUCAGUUAUGAAGCGUGGAAACACACGGCAGGAGAAGGGAAGCAGUGAGGGUCAGGUCAGGACGGGGAAGUUGGACAGUUUCCACGGCUUUCUGAUUUUGGGCUUCCUAGGACUGCAGUCACCUCUUUGAAAUGUUUGAAUUCCCAAGGUAUCAGAGGCCCCCAAAAUAAAAGGACCACAUCGUAUACCAAAGACGAGAUGUCAACUAUUGGUGUUAUCUAUCAUUAGUUUUACUCUUUUUCUCCAUGUGGAUGUCAAGUUACUUUCAGUGAGCCCGUUUAUUACGUUUAAAAUGAAAUGCAGACGACACUGACCUAAUGCCACACGUUCACCCUUGAACUCUGGCCCUUGCUCUGGACAAGUCUGGAGGAAACCAGCUCUGAGCAGAAGUAACCCAGCAAAGGAGAGAAUACUUCUUCCUACUCCAGAAAGGAAGGAACAAGACAAAGAUGCCUGCUUUGACCUCUGCUAUUCAGCAUUAUGUUGGAAGUUUCAGCCAGAGCAGGUAGGCAAGAAAACAGAAACAAAAGACAUCCCGAUUGGAAAAGAAAAAGUAAAGCUGUCUUUACUGCAGAUUACACGAUCCUAUAUAGAAAAUCCUAAAGAACCCCAAACAAAACCCUACCAGAGGUGAGAAACAAAUUCAGGAAAGUUGCAAGGUACAAGAUCACACGCAAAAACCAGUUAUAAUUCCAUACACCACCAAUGAACAAUUCGAAAAAGAAAUUAAGAAAACAAUUGCACUUAUAAUAGCAUCAAAAAGAAUACAAUACUUAGGAAUAAAUUUAACCAAAGAGGUGACAGAUUUGUACACUGAAAACUACAAAACAUUGCUGAAAGAAAUUUAGGAAGACCUAAGUAAAUGGAAAGAUGUUGUGCAUCCACGGACUGAAAGGCUUAAUAUUGUUAAGAUGACAAAGCUACCUACAAAUUCAAAUGCAGUCCCUAACAAAGUUCCAACGGCAUUGCAAGGGACCUUGAAUAGCCAAAACAGUCUUGAAAAAGAACACAGUUGGAGGACUCACACUUUCUGAUUUCAAAACUUUCUACAAAGCUACCGUAGUCAAAACAGUGUGGUACUGGCAUAAGGAUAUUAUUAUUAUCCCAUUUUGUAGAUGAGAAAGUUGAGGCACAGAGAAGUUCUACACCUUGCCAAGAUCACACAGUGGCAGAGCCAGGACUUGGACCCAGGUAGUUUGGCUGUAGAACCUGUACUCUCCAGUCAGUGCUGAAGGUGGUGGUUCUCAAACUUGAGUGAGCGUCAGAAUCACCCGGUGGGCUUGUUGAGACGUAGACUCCUGGGCCCCACCUCACAGACUCUGAUACAGUAGAUGUGGGGUGGGGCUUAAGUUUGUGUUUUCAACAAGUUCCCAGGUGACACUGACCCUGCUGGUGUGGAAUCCAGUCUUUGAGAACCACUUACGUAAACUGUGUUGUGGUGCCUGAGGAGAGAGCACCACAGCCUGACAGAGGUCCAGGGUUCCCAGCCCAGAACCAGCGGCGAAGCGAGUGGGGCCCAGCUGGCUGGAGAGCCGGUGAAGGAGACCCCUGCCUGAGAAGCAGCCUCCAAAUGCGCUGCUCUAGAGGGACUUGAGAGAAAGUUCCUUUCCUCACCAUAUCCCAGAGGAGACCCCAGAGAGGGACAGUGGACAAUGGUGGACACCUGCUUCACUGCAGUAAUGGCCCUGGGAGGUGGUUAUUAUUAUCGUGUAUUAUAAACAAACAAAACAAUCAAGUCUCUGACAAAAGAAAUGAUGGCGCACAGUGACACCAGAUCCUUUGUCUUCAAAGCCAGCGCCUUUCGCUACUGGUCUUCCACCUCUUUACGACCAUGAGGGGCAAAAGACAAAGACCCAGAUUGAGAAAGGGAGGCCUCCAGGCUGUUUACAGGAGAAACUGACGUGGGAGAGAGCUGGCAUCAGUUGUAAAAACAGCAUGUGGUCUUUGCUGCCCAUGAAAUAUAGUACACAAGGAAAUUGAGCCUUUUGUUGGAAAGAGUCAAGGAAAAUGAAAAUAGUACCUGGGUCCUGUUCUUCCUGUUUCCUGUGUGUUUCCGAAAGCCCUUCCUUGUCUGUGGAGUUGAGACCUGCAGCAUUCAGUCCCGGUGGUGGGUGCUGGGGUGGGGGUGGGAGGUGGAACGGAUGGGAGGCCUUGGCUCGCCAACACUCAGGCCUUAAGAAGGUGCGAAUUGGCCAGAAAGGCCAAUUCCAUGGGCACCAUUAAUCUCUGGGAUGCCCAACCGGAUUUAAAUCUUAGGAGAUCAGAUUUAAAUCCACUUAAUAGCUGUAUGCUUCUGGGAGAAUUAUUUAACCCUUUUAAGCCUCACUGUCUUCAUGAAAGCAUCAAGGGUAAAAUAGUGCUUGCUCCAUAGACACGCUGUGAGGAUUAGAUAAGAUAACGUGUUCAGUGCAGUGCCUCCUGCACGGAAGGUAACGUUCUCUUUUAUGAAUGUCAGCAGGUGCUCACUGAGCACUCACUGUUCCUGUGUGUGCUUGAAGUGGAAGGAGCCCUCAGGUACCACGAGAGAUGGGGCAGGGCUGAGACAACUUCCCCCAGGACCUAGGCUGGAAAAUCACCAGUCACAAGUAUUGUAUUUGAAUGGGAAGCUCUUUACAGUAAAUGGAGCCAUCCAGAGGUGCUCCCACAUGGAAGUAUCCAGCACUAUCGCAAGGUUUAUAAAGUUCAAAGUGUAGCAUUUCACAGGGUUAAUUGCACUGCAGCAUUUGAUCCAACAUUUGGAGCCAUACUGUAGGCUCCACCUGGGGACCAGGUGUUGGAUGCGUUGGAGACAUUGCUAGAAGAAUCAGCUAUUGAUCAAGGGUUAGAUACUCAGUGCAUUGGGAGUUUAUUUGUAGAUAAAACAGUGAGGUUUUCUUCUCACGCUGCUGAAAAUACAUAACAACUGGAGCCAGACCCCCAAUCAAACCUGGAAUAAAAACCUGCAAGCAUCUUCACUAGCACAAGAGGAGUUGUAAUGCAAAUCUUGGCCCCCCUUGUCUGGGUCCUCCUCUCUCUAUUCUCUCCCAAGCUAGAGGGAGGUAAUAGAAUAAUGUAACAGUUCCUUGUGACUGGCGAGUGUAGUCUCAGUACUAUUUAGCAUAGCAGAGAUGCUCUGUUAAGACAGAGUUGUAUUAUUUUAUUUAUUCUGGGUUUCCAUAAAACUAUGUAAAGAAAUGGACAAGGCCCAUAUUUGAACCAGUAGGUAAAGCCUUAAGAAUGUACAACAUGCAUGUGUGUGUGACUGUGCUUAUGUGUUAGAGAAACAGAGUGAAUAGGACAAAAGAAGGGGGUAACUGGUUUAAUAAGGGACAUUUGCAAAGAGAAUUCUAAGUGCUCAAGCCCAAUAUUUCCUUCUGACCACUGACCAUCCCUUGGGUCUUCCUUGGACAUCUCCACUGUGGUGUGCCUUCACACAGCAUUCACGGUCCUGUGGGCUCUCGCCUCCUUGCCUGUCAGUUCCCACUGUUACCUGCUUUUCCAUCACACCAAACCUUUAAUGGUUUCCUGGGAGAGGCACAGCCCGCACAUCAUCACUCCUUUUCUGUGCUUUCCUCUCUGCCUGGAAAGUCCCUCUUCAUUUCUCUGUCUCUGUAGCACUUGUCACAUGGGACCUAUUUCCUCUUCACCCUGAACUAAGCAGGGAGACCAUUGAGGGCCUGGACAGUGUCAUGGUUAUCCUUGGAUACUUGGUACCUAGUAGAUAAAUACCCCAAAAGCACUUAGGACAAGAGGGCUAGCAGGACUGCUGGGGGCUUCUCCUCAUUCUGUUCAGCCAUAGUCUCAGUUCACGGGAGAGCAGGCUCCUGGGUGGUUCACCCGUACCGUUUUGCCAACAUAGACAAAGUUCUUAACUAAUAUUUCUGAAUUCAAGAAAUUACUUAAGCACCUCAGAUAGUGCCUGGAAUAAGGUAGAGACCUGAUAAACAUAGAACCAAUGAAUGAAGAAAAGCCAACCAGUGAAACAGCAAUCACACUCAUCACCAAAUGGAAUUUUUUCUUUUUCUAUGUUAAAUCACCUCCUUCAAGGUGGCUGACUUCAUGAUGCAUUGCAAAUCUCAGCCUUCAAAAUAAAGUGCUAAACUUCGAGGUAGCAUUUUGGAAAAGCUGACUUUUAUAUUUGUGCAGGGUUAUAUGUUUAAGUACAUUGAGUUUCAAAUUAGAAAAAAAAAACCAAUAUGAAUAAACAAAUAGUGCAGUAGUGCAAUCCUUAGUGUGACUGCCAUCAAGAUAUUGACCUGAGAAUUAGGCUGAAUGCACAUUGUCAACUAUAAUAUGUUACAUCCUUGCUGAUCAUAUGAUCCAGAAAAGAACUGUGGCACAGGAAAACAAGUUACUUCUCUUGGCAAAUCUGAAAUUUCAUAUCCUCCAAGAUAUACUUUAAUACUUUUCCCUGUAAGAAACAAAUCUGAUUGAAAUCUUUCUUGACCCUAUGGAGUUGUAACCUACUGGAGAAAGUUGACCUACUUUUUAUGUGAUUCUGUACUACCACUUCUUUAGAAGAUGAUCUGUGCCAGAUAAGAAAGGUAUUUCUGUACUAAUCCACUUGUGCUCCAAGACAUUCUUUAAAAUAAGGGUAAGUCUUUGGUUUAGGAAGAGGAGACAAAAAUAGUUCAUCAAAACAAAACAUGAAACAUCUUCUGUAACUUCACUACUUAUUAAUAACUUGCAUUUUUUGGCCAGGUUAUUAGCUUAUAAACCAGAGAAGGACACAGACUCCAUUUAUGCUCAAUAAUGAUGCCAGUGAAAGCUGCGGGACCCUGAUGUCAAUGCCACAAUGGAGAUCUAUGUCAUUGACUUUCUUGUAAAAAAAAUAGAACAUGUGUAUUUUUCGCAUCUCAUGCUAUCCAAAUACAAUUGUUUGUGUGGUUGAGCUCAUACUAUAUAUAAAAUUCUGUAGUGUUUUGAAGAUUUUUAUUUUUAAAUAAUCUGAGAAUCAUAGGAAGUUGUGAAGAUGGUACAGAGAGGUCUAUGUAGUCUUCACUCAGUUCCCCUCAAUGGUUACAUCAUAUCUAACUAUGGUUCAAUUUCAAACCAGGAAACUAACAUUUGAACAAUGUGUGUGUAGAGCCCUAACCCAUUUUAUCACUGGUGUAUUUUUGUUUAACCACCACCACAAUCAAGAUACAGAACUGUUCUGUUACACGCAGGCCUUUCUUGUGCUAUUCCUUUAGCCCCACACCUGUGUCCCUCUCCUUACCAUUCCUAAACCCUGGCAACUAGCAAGCUGUUCUCCAUCUCUGUACUUUGGUCAUUUCAAGAAUGUUAUGUAAAUGGAUGCAUAUAUUAUGUGAAUUUUUAACAUCUUUUUAAUCAGCAUAAUGCCUCUGUGUGUAGUUGGGCCACACUUAUUUAAUCCACUCUCUCAAUCUCUGUCUUUUAAUUGGUAUAUUCAGGCCAUUUACAUUUAAUGUAAGCUCACAUGAUGAAGCCUAAACCAAGGACUCAGCAGUCAGGAGAUGGGAUCUGUUAUCAAAGUCCUUACCAAAAACCCCUUGAGGGGGCUGAGGGAGGAAUAGUUUGCAGGCAUCAUCCAGGACUCCAUUAAGUCAGGAAAUGGAAUAGUUAGUUAAGAGAAGGACACUGCAAGGGAAAUGUAAGGGAAUGUGGCUUACCUUGGGAGGGAGUCCAUAGAGGUCAGGGUAGAAGUUUGUGAGGGCGCAGGGCAGGUGAGUUAAGAGAGAAGAGAAGCUGGAAGGUGAGGAGGUGACCAGACAUGCUUGCCUCAUCUCACUGCAGCUCCGUGAAGGAAGGGUGCAGCCUGGCGGGCCACAUCCGUCCCCAGCAGGAUGGAUGAGCCUGCGAAUGUGCAUUGGUAUCCCCAGGUUUGUAGGUAAUCUUCCAUCAGUCUGUACAAAAGCCUCAUGAGAUAUAUGGCUAAAUUGUUCCCACUUACAGAAAGAAGAGAGAUGGAAGGAAAUUCCUAAUUCAGAGUUAAGAGGAGGGAAAUCUGAGUGUCUAAAUUGAAGUUCUGCUGCUCAUUUUCUCAGUUUUCAGGGUGUCUAGGGAGAAGAGUCUUAGGAAUGUCCUCCAACAAAAGAGAAGGUCAAACAAUUAAAAAAAGGGGAAAACACAACUGCAGUGACAUCUGAAAAAGAGUCCAAGGCAGAUGUAAAAGAAGCGGAUAUCAGAAACAGAAAUAAACAGGAGUGACAAGUUCGAAGUAACUCUGUCCUGAGAGGAGAUGGCAGUCAUCUCUUUCCCAGGCCGUUGGAGGAUGCAGUAGGAACGUCGCAGUGGUUUAGGAACUGUCAGACACGUGGCCACGCUCUGAGUGUGUUCCUUGCACGUUCUCUAGCUGAAGCUGCUGCUGCUCGCAUAAAGCCGAGCUCAUGCAAGGUUGGAGUGUUGCGGAAAUCCGCGCUAAGCUCAGGAGAUCCAGCUCCGUUUCACGGCAGACCUUUUGAAAAUUGCCAGGAGGCAAAUGUAGGUCUGAGGCCAAUUUGGAGGGUUUGCUCUAAAAUAGUACGUUUAUUUAUACCUGAAUUUGAAAAUUGUCUUUGUGCAACGGUCGCUCGCUAUCAGCCCAGAGCUGGCUUUCCACCCAGGCCUCGAGAGUGUAAUCAGCUGUUUGGGUUUCUCAUUCUGUGGUGAGUUUGUGAGUCCUGCCACACCGGAGUGAAAGGAAAUAUUUCUUCUAAGAUGUUAAAUUCCCACCCAAGUAAGCCGAUCAUCUCCCCAAACCUAAGGAUGUGUUUCAUUUAUUUGAGAAUGAAUCAUUCCAUUUCCCCUGGGAACUCGGGGUCUCUUCCCCGGGGUGCCUGGCCUGGCAGCUGAGGGGCGGUUGGGUCGUGUGUCUUCCCGAAGACUCCCUAACUGACACCUUGCAGCCCUGCGUGCCUGUCCUCGCUGGGGAUGGAUGGUGGCACCCAGGACUUUAAUAUUUUUUAACUUACUGAGUCCAAUUACCCUGCGGGCAGUUGAAAAGAUCUCACAAAGUUUAUUUCCUCCCUCCCCCUCGAACCCUCAAGAAAAAAAAAGAAAUCAUACCGAUGUUUAAAAAGGAAGCAAACAACCUUUUCUGAUGUCCUUUGAACUCCUGCUGGAUUAAUGCCCCACUGGCCUGUUUGAUUCACCAUUCUCCUACGAGCCAGAAGCAGUGUGCCCACUGUCCAUGGCUGAGGUGUCCACCUGUUGUGAGGCCAGCAAUGGUGCCAAGUGCAGCAGUGUGGGCUGCCCCACAGUCAAGUGCACAUCCCACAAGCCUUUUGUAUUAAGACCUAGUAGCCUUUAGGCCUCCAGAACAAUGGCUGCAAUGUGGAUUCAUUUCCUACAGCUGCUGGAACAAAUUAUACAAACUGGAUGGUGUAAAACCACAGAAAUUUAUUCUUUCACAGUUCUAGAGGCCCAAAGCCCCAAAACAAGGUGUUUGCAGGGCCAUGUUGCCCACAAAGGCUCUGGGGAACGAUCCUUCCUGGCCUCUUCCAGCUUCUGGUACUUGCCGGCAAUCCUUGAUGUCCCUUGGCUUGUGGCUGCAUCACUGUGGUCUCCGUCUCCCUCUUAACACCGUCUUCUCCAUGUGCGGCUGUGUCUUCAUAUGGCACUCUCCUCUUGUCUCUGUGUCCAAAUUUCCCUCUUCUUAUAGGACACCAGUCAUUGGAUCUAGGGCUGACCCUAACCCAGAGGGACCUCAUCUUGAUUAUAUCUACAGAGACCCUAUUUCCAAAUAAGGUCACAUUCCGAGGUUCUGGGUGAUGUGAAUUUGGGGGGACACUAUCCAACCCAGGACCCAACACUCCGAAGCAGAGCGAGGGCCCAGCAGGCUCAGCCCCUCCGGCUGCAGGUCAUCGCCAAUGUGACGAGCACGGUGCAAGAAAGGACUCUGCCUUCUCGCCCCUGGCUGAGGCAUGAAACAAUUCUUGGUACUAAAUAUGGUACAGGUUCAUUACACAAACACUUAUCAAGAGCUUACUGUGUGUCUGCCGUUUUGCCAGGCGACACGGAGGAUACAGCAGUGCCUGAAAUGCAGUCCUUGGCCUCGGUGGAUUUUCACCAUUUCCCUUAAUGAACUUCAUUCCACUAGUAACAGUAAAACGAGCAGUGAUGAGAGGCAUUCUUUGACAGUUCUUCCAAUUACUAAGAUUUGCGGUUUGGUCACACGUAGCCACAAAAAAAUGCCCUAAAUUAAUAAUUUUUUUAAAGUAUCAAUUUGUAUCUUUUGAAAUAUAAAAUAUGUUUCUUUCGAAAUACUGGGCCCAUUGAAAUAGCAGUUCUGAGAAUGAAAGGGUGAAGCACAGUAAAAUUCUAAUUGGUCCUUUUGUCUCAAAGUAUUUGGAGUGAGAUGAUCGGGGAAACGAUAUUACUAAAUACAAUAUUUUGAAAUAUCAUGCCCCUUCAUUUCAUGCAAUAAAAAGGAAAGAUAAAGUUACAAAUCUGAAGUUAUAUCAGGAAAAAAAUAGUCUCUGAAAAUAGCAAAAGAAUCCCAGGGUAAUGGCCCACCAUUUGGGUAGUAUCCCAAAUUCUUGCAAAAAGACAGAAAGGAAACAUGUGUCAGUAGAAACUCUCCCAAUUAUUAAGCUUCUUAGCUCCUUAUUAGAUUGAAUAACUAGAAAACAAGUUAAUGUUAAUAGUAUCUUUUGAUUAGACCUGAAAUCUUGUGCAUUGCUCACAACGCUUGGCCAUUCAGAAUCAUGUUUGUAGAAGUGACUCAAAUUCAUGUAAAUCAUGUUCAUAUAAAUUUUGUCUCCAUCCCUCUUCUCCUUCCCAUCUUCUUUCCUUCUUUCCUUCCCCUCCCUUCUCUCCUUCUUCCUUUUCUCUUGAUUAUAUUUUUCUUCAAUUUGCCUUUUUUUUUUUCAGUUAUGCUUAGGCCUGCCCACAGCCUCUGCAGUCGUUAACAGUUCUUAGUCCCACAGGUAACUCAAGGCUAGGGAGAGUCACCUAGCCCAGCGCUUCUCAAAGUCAGUAUGCCCACAAGCGACCUGCACUGCCUUGUGCAAAUGCAGACCUUGUCAGUAGGCCUGGAGUGAGCCCGCGAGUCCACGUUCCUGACCAGCUCCUGGUGUGUGGGCCACACAGAGCGAGGAAGGAGAUCCCUCGGUUGAGAAUCCAACAGAUGACCAGCCGAGGGGACGAAAUGGACAGUUACCAGGCAAGGCCUUCAGAAACCUCUAGAUGCGGGACGCAGAGUGUUCUCGGGACUCACGCACAUACCAUCAGAUUGGUGGGCUCCAUGCUCGCACUUCCCGUUGCCGUUUUAACCAUUCUCUGAUCUUGUCCGGAUUUUGAACAUCUCUCAGAGGAGAGGGGCAUUUCCUGGGACCAACAAACAUCCAAAUUAACCAUUGCCAGACCACCCACCAUGAUUCAUGCUAAGGUCACUUAGCGAACAAAGAAGAAAGACUGAAAAAGCCAAUUCACUGCUGCCAAGGAGGGUGUGUGCAAGGAGCUGCACAGUAUGAACACCAAAGCUUCAACGUGAGUCAUCACUGAUUCACCACCUUCAUUUUCUUCUUGAUGCUUAAAUUGUGUUCUCAAAGGCCAGCUCCUCCGAAACAACAGAUCCAAACUGCUGGCAACAUUUACAGCCUGUGGCAUUUCAGUUGAAGUGACAGAGCCAUACUUAAACAUUGGAAAUUGAAAAUAAUCUCUUCAAAUGACAGAUCCUUGCCUUUUGUUACAACGACCAUGUCCUUUAUAUUUCUUUACUUUAGGACUUUCUCUUCAUGUUAACAAUCAAGUGAUUACCAUAUUAAGGUUGCUGCAGUGUGCAAAUGGUUAUAAAAUAAAUGCAAACAAUAAUAAAUAUUCUUAUUGCUCUUCUUGUUACUAUUCCAAUAGUGGUAAAUCUGGGCCAUUCUUGACUGCUAUACAAGAAACAAGGUGAGACGAAAAGGAAGUCCUCGACAGUUUGCCCUAUUUUGGCUGCUUACGAUCGGACGCUCACGAGGCCAAGAUCAUAGGCUGAAUUUUCUUAUGGGCGCUGUGACUACAUAUCCCAUAUUUUUCUGAGACAGUCAUAAUUCCAGAUAUUGUUUUGUUAUUUUCAUCCAUUCAAGUUGGUCAGGCCAUGAGUCUCCAUUUGUUAUUGGAUGUCUUAUCUAAAGAUAUGUACCCCUGGGCAAGGAGGUGUGUCACAUCUUUCAUCUAGAAGCCUCAUGAGAGAGUGUGGAUCAAAGCAAGUCUGUCCUCACCAGCUUCGGGGACAUCCUAGUGGCGCAUCCAUGGUGCCAUCUUCCCGUGUAAGAGAGAAGUUUGCAGUAAAGGUGUGGUGAGUGGGAUGUUUAAGUGGUGAAUAAGUGAAGUAAAAAACUACUUUCUUUGUGAAGUCUAGGUGCUGAAGUUUUUCAUAUUCCUUUAAAUAUUUUGAACUUUAUUCUGGGACACAGUUAAAUUACUUGGAAACAUUUGAUCCUUUUGGAUCCAGCCUUCAAGCUCUGUUAGGCAGGACCAGAACAGUGCCGAGUCCAGGGCCAAUUUGGCCUCACUUCUAAGACAAUACCCCCAAGUACUCAGUGCUCCGUGCAUCAUGACGUUUCUCCACUCUGCUGUGGGAAACAUGAACUAUUCCCAGCCCUGCAUGCGAGCUCUGAGAAUUUUUCCAUCUGAUCCUUUCUGGUGGUUUUUCCUCGGUUUUGCGUAGUUUCCUGACGUGCAUGUUCUGGUCAAUACUCAGCCGAAACCUUGAGAUGGAGCCUCUGCAGACUGCUCCUGUGCGUCUUUCUCCCCUCUGGUACUCCACCCUGAGAAUUCUAGCUGCCUCAGCCUCCCCGAAUUCUCAACUCUGUCUCCUCAACUAAGGAGACCACCGGGGGCUUGGGUUCCCCCUCCUUGCACUGUGGCCUGUCCCCCUCUGCAGGCAGAAAACUGGGGCAGCUGUGGGGCCCGCCCUGUUUCUUUCCCUUCUCACAAGGAUCACUGUCCUGCAGUGCUUAUUGUCCAAUGUCUGAAAGCC